AGCUCAGUGGAUGCCCAGGGGGGGUAGGAACCUAUGCCCGCAGUCCGCACAACGAAACACCGAUUAAUCGGACGUCUCAACAAAACUCCCCACUAACAAAUAACACAUCUCUAACAAAUAAAAGUAAACAAACCAAAUAUGACGACUUUUGCGGAAUGGUGGCAUAGAUGGAGUCGCCACGACGCUCCCGCCCAACCUGUGGUGCCUCCGGUGUGUCUAGGGGCACCACCCAUCUCCGGCGGACCGGAGUCUAAUCCAGGCGGCUUGACGGCCAGCCCAUCUCCCCAGGUGCUUAAGGCUAACAUUGGCAGAGUACAAUAGAGUUCCUAAUGGACUCAUUCCCGGCGAAACGUCACCCUAGCCCGGGAUGCGCUCGCGCCAAGACUGCGGCAGCGGAGAAGAAGCGGUGGUCCGCUUAGGAAAAAGCCACAAACUGGCUGGAGUGGUACUCUAGAUUCCCUUAUUUCCUACCUACUAUCCCUGCUGGAGCUCCAAGAAAAAUAAAGGGGAUGGGUAAAUAUGUUUUCGUUAAUAUCCACUUCUUCUAAUCUGUUCCUCAACUUCGCAGAACUCGUGUUGCACAAAUCCCUGACCCAAGUUAAGAGACGUGGAGAAACAAGCACACGGAACCAAUUAGACAACUAGAAGUCACUCGGCGACCCGCAAAUGGCUUCAGUGGCGUGAGUGGCCAGAAAUCGCGGCAACUGAUGGCGACGGCAAGCCCGAGGAAAGCAGGGACCUUCGCAGCCACGGCCACGUCGUUUUGGAGAAGGGGCAGAGCCGAUCAAAGUCCCAAAUAUGGGUACCAAAACCUGCCGGUUCCAGACGGCGCUUAAUGGAACGGACUCACCGGUUGGCUUGACGGAUGGCUCAGUUCCCGGCUGCUACGAGGCUCGUUGGAAAUGUUUUUUCAUCCCUCUCCUCCAGAAACAUCCGCCCAAGAACGUUGGCGGCGGGUAAGCUGUGCAAUAUAAUCCCGUAAUUUUCCAAUAAAAAUGCCCGUGGCCAGCGAUUUAUUCACUGCCACGCUGAAAUUAAACGUUUAUUUAAUAAAACGUUUUUAGAUCUUUACACUUUCACCCACGUUCUUCAGGUAAUUCCUAGCCGCCCAGGAGAUUAGCUGCUUUUACAUCGACUUUUCGUUGCUACUGCCGGCUGCCAUGUUGCCUAUCCCUCCCUAUAUAGGCUUCGCCUGUCACCCGAGUUCGCACCUAGGAACCGUUCUUUCUUCAGUGCAACGGCCGAGGCCAAGGGUAAAAACCCUUUCUCUUAAUUCCCUUAACCUAAGCCCGUUACCUAUUCCCGGUUCGCUCUUUGGAAUCCCUGCCCCCCCUGGGCCUAACGAUCCUACCUCUAUCGAUCUAUCGAUAGUCCUCCAGCCCAUUCCGAUUGAAAAUGCAACAAAUUACAUUUUUCAUUGUUUACAAAAUUUCUCAUCAGUGUAGUUUCUUUAGCACA